GGCGAACGCUGGCGGCAGGCCUAACACAUGCAAGUCGAACGAACCUUUCGGGGUUAGUGGCGGACGGGUGAGUAACACGUGGGAACGUGCCUUUAGGUUCGGAAUAACUCAGGGAAACUUGUGCUAAUACCGAAUGUGCCCUUCGGGGGAAAGAUCUAUCGCCUUUAGAGCGGCCCGCGUCUGAUUAGCUAGUUGGUUGAGGUAAUGGCUCACCAAGGCGACGAUCAGUAGCUGGUCUGAGAGGAUGAUCAGCCACAUUGGGACUGAGACACGGCCCAAACUCCUACGGGAGGCAGCAGUGGGGAAUCUUGCGCAAUGGGCGAAAGCCUGACGCAGCCAUGCCGCGUGAAUGAUGAAGGUCUUAGGAUUGUAAAAUUCUUUCACCGGGGACGAUAAUGACGGUACCCGGAGAAGAAGCCCCGGCUAACUUCGUG
rnacentral:rRNA from 1 species